GAUGAACGCUGGCGGCGUGCCUAAUACAUGCAAGUCGAACGGAGACGAUGUAGCAAUAUAUCGUUUGAGUGGCGAACGGGUGAGUAACGCGUUGGUGACCUGCCCCGAAGUGUGGGAUACCAGUUCGAAAGGACUGCUAAUACCGCAUGUGGUUCCUGGGAUUAGACGCCCAAGGACUAAAGGAAGCAAUUCCGCUUGGGGAGGGGCCUGCGUCCCAUCAGCUGGUUGGUAGGGUAACGGCCUACCAAGGCGACGACGGGUAGGGGACCUGAGAGGGUGACCCCCCACACUGGCACUGAAACACGGGCCAGACACCUACGGGUGGCAGCAGUAGGGAAUAUUGCACAAUGGGCGCAAGCCUGAUGCAGCAACGCCGCGUGCGCGAAGAAGGCCUUCGGGUCGUAAAGCGCUUUUCUGGAGGACGAGGAAGGACGGUACUCCAGGAAUAAGGAUCGGCUAACUACGUGCCAGCAGCCGCGGUAACACGUAGGAUCCGAGCGUUAUCCGAAUUUACUGGGCGUAAAGCGCGUGUAGGCGGUCGGGUAAGUUGGACGUGAAAGCUCCUGGCUCAACUGGGAGAGGUCGUUCAAGACUGCCGGGCUAGAGGGCGGUAGAGGGAGGUGGAAUUCCCGGUGUAGUGGUGAAAUGCGUAAAGAUCGGGAGGAACACCAGUGGCGAGAGCGGCCUCCUGGACCGUACCUGACGCUCAGACGCGAAAGCUAGGGGAGCGAACGGGAUUAGAUACCCCGGUAGUCCUAGCCGUAAACGAUGUGGACUGGCGUGGGGUGGGGUAAAAGCCAUCCGUGCCGAAGCC
rnacentral:rRNA from 1 species